AAAGUGCUCUGUAUAGCUUAUAUGUUAAUAUUUAUUGUUGAAUAUAUAGUUCCUAGUUUGUACUGGGUUGCUGUAUUAAGAGUUUGAAUGUUGUGGAACCUGAAUGAUAACAAUUUAUUGAUUUAGUUUCCUAUUUUGUAUUGCACUCAUGAUUGCAGUGAUGUAUUUUUCGGUCUGAUUUUGUCCUAGGAAUGGUAUGAGAAGUUUGAAAUAUGGUGCUUUGCUUUGAGAUAUUGUAUGCCUUCUUGUGAAUUCAUGCAUAAUUAUUCAUGCCUUACCAUGCGGGAUCUCUUCAGCAGCAACAGCACCGCCAUUUGCAGCGGUUACUAUUAACCUCAACAACUUCAUUAUUGCCAGCAACAAUAGGAACACCAGCUUCAACAUCUUCAGCAAUCGCGACAUCUUCAUGCUCUACCACAACAUCACUAUCUUCAGGAUUUUAGGUAAGGCUAUAUCAUCAAAAUUCUAAACCGCUUUGAACUUAGUUUGAAGGGUGAAGGAAAUUUGAAUAGAGUGUAAAACAGUGCAUACAAAUGGCUGUGUAAGAAUUUCAAAUGCACUCCAGACGCUCCACUCUCACUGUGGCUUCUCCUCUAAACCAUUCAUUCAUUUCUUCCGUUUAAGGAGGCCAUUACCAGCCAUCCGUCACUGUUACUGCAUGCAAUUACCAAAAUGCGUUUUGAGCACUCAUGAAUUAAGCAUUUUUGUCCAAAAGAUGCGAGUGAUGGAUGCAAUGAGAAGAACAAGCCAUGGGUAAAGGGUACGUAGAUGCACCUAAGAUAGAGAUACACGAGUCUUGUAACUAAGUUAAUUUCUUGGUUACUAAUUAUAAUGAAGCACUUGAUUUAGAUUCUUGGUUUUAUUUGGAAUUGAUGUACUUUUAAGUUACGAUUGUUGUGGAAAAAAAUUAUAACUACGAAAUAAAAAUUAAUAAUUUAUAAUAAUUUUUAUUAAUUAUUUAUUUUGAAAACAUUUCUUCUCUAUAGUACAACAUAGUAGUAGAAAGAGUAACGCGCUGCAUAUUCUCCAGAUGUUUCCUACUAAUUAUUAUAGUUGCUAAUAUAGUAGUAGCAUAAUAUUUGCUUAUUAGCUUUGUUUACAUUCACUGUUUCUACAGGGAUUGAAAACAGGAAUGUACUAUCUACGGUCACGUGCUGCUGCUGAUGCCAUCAAGUUUACUGUAGAUACUUCUGUUUUUAAGGUAACAAUUUUUGUUGUUUACCAUCAUUUUAACAAUCAGUUUCUCUGUAUACUCAAUAAUAAUAAAAUUUCAACUCUUGGUGAUACAGGAAAAGCCUGAAAAGCCUGAGUUGGUGGUAGAUGAUGAAACCAAGAUGGCACAGGUGGUUUGCUCUCUAACAAACCGUGAAGAGUGCAUGGCUUGUGGCAGUUAGGAGGAACAAAUUUUGGUUUAUAUUUCUUAAAAACAUGUACCCAGGCAUAGGUUAGAGACCCUUAAUUGAAAGGGCAUGUUUUGAUGAUAUGGGUAUCUGAAAUAUGAUCAAGUAACUGUAAUGUGAAGUAACUUAAAGUGCUCUGUAUAGCUUAUAUGUUAAUAUUUAUUGUUGAAUAUAUAGUUCCUAGUUUGUACUGGGUUGCUGUAUUAAGAGUUUGAAUGUUGUGGAACCUGAAUGAUAACAAUUUAUUGAUUUAGUUUCCUAUUUUGUAUUGCACUCAUGAUUGCAGUGAUGUAUUUUUCGGUCUGAUUUUGUCCUAGGAAUGGUAUGAGAAG
rnacentral:lncRNA from 1 species